GAAACAAAACGCCUCCGUUAACCUCCCCGCCUCCGCUAACCUCCCUGCGCCACCGGUUCCGCCCCUCCUCGCCUCGUCUUCCUCCUCCUCGCCUUCCUCCUCGCGCGCGCCGCCGAGGCCGGCGGCGGCGGCAGCGGCAGCAGGUACCCAGACCCUAGCUGCUUUUCUCCCUCUCCCAUUCACCCGCCGCCAUCCGCGCUCUCAUCCCCUCGCUCGUCUCCCCCAAAUCGCCGCACACGGCGCGCUGGUUCCUCCCUCAGCCAACCGCCGCCCCUCCACCUGCAGCCUCCCGCCGCCCCUCCACCAGUCCACCCGCAGCACUCCUCCGCCCUUCCACCUGCAGGGGCGCGCCGCCCCCGAUCUACAAGCACGCGCCGCGCGACCUGCCUGCGUGCUUGUGCAAUCUGCCGAAGGACGUGCAGGCACACGCAGCCCCUGACCUGCUGGCGGGCUGAAGCCGUCCGCUAACCGGACAUGUGCGCGCCGCCCCGAUCUGCAGGCUACAGGCAUGGCUCCGCCCCCGCGCCGCCGCGCGUCCACCCCGACGGCCCCGACCUCCAUGCCGCUGGACCCGCGCCUGCAGCCCUCCAGCUCCAGUGGCGUCCACCCCGCGGGCCCUGCCUGUCUCCGUCGGAUGACCGCCCACGUCCGACUGCCGGUCCCAAGCUCACAGAUAAGGCCCCAAAUCCAAUCCCCCCAAAUCUUCUUCUGUUGCUGCCCCGUUCUUGGGGUUAAAUUUUGUUAGAAUUGAUUGAAGUGAAACUGCCAUUACAUGUAAAUGUGCCUUUCGAUCUCAUUGUAAUGGUCCAAUAUCUUAGUGCAUGUUUAAUUAAAAUGGCAGAAUAUGAAGUGCUUGUGUGACACCUGUUUUGUGCUUGUGAGAGGUGCAAGAUAACUUGCACUGAUUGUUAUUUUUUUGUUUGUGUUAGAAAACUGCAUCAUAGUGCUUACAUAUAUUACUUCUGAUUAUCUUCAGUUAAGCAAAGAUAGUUAUUUAUGUGCCACUCUUUCAGAAGAAACUAGUUCUCCAUUUUUUUUUCUGUAUUGUCUGGUAGAUAUAUGAAAAUUGCUGAGAAACUACAAGUGAGCCUUCUGUAUAUGGCUUUUGUAAUCAAUUUUGAAUCCAUCAUCCAUCUCCUAGGCUAAGUAACUCAACUGUUUUCAGAACUUGCUCUAAAAAACUUGUGUUAUGUGAACGCAAUAGCUAUAUGGAUCUAGAAUUUAUCAUCCAUCAGCCAUGCACAGACACGCUUUCUUAUCUGCCUUAAGUACGAGAUGGUUUUCCGUCCUAAUCCUAGACUGUAGUAGACUCGACAAUAUGGACCUUAAUUCUUAAAAGAGUAUAUCAGUAGCAUGUGCUGACUGGAGGCUUGUGGAUGCUGAAAAGAAAUAUGAAGUGUGGACCAACAUAAAGGUAAUGCGAUGUACCAUUUUCCUUUCUUAUGCAUGGUAAUUGGGAAUUUAUACAGCAAAUAUGUUUGUAACAGAGAUGAGAUAAUACGGAGAUGAAAGAAAAAGCUGAAAAUUGCAUUAUCUUUAUAUCUGAAUGCAGACAUGAUACUGGUGGAUGAUGGCGAUGGAGCUUAUGAGCGGAUUGACCACUCACCGUGGAACGGGUGCACUCUGGCAGACUUUGUCAUGCCGUUCUUCCUCUUCAUAGUUGGUGUCGCAAUCGCCUUCGCAUUGAAGAGAGAACUGAUUAUCAGGUGAGCAUGAUUACAGAGAGUUCCCAAUAUCAAUAUCGGUGCUGCUGUGACGAAGAUUGCCCUCAGAACACUGAAAAUGCUCUUCUGGGGUGUGCUUCUCCAAGGACUGCACAUUCAGCUCACCGAACAUGCAAUAUAUUAUAUUAGCUAAACAUUGAUCAUUUUGUAUGGCUAGAAUUACAAAGUCUGUACUUAAAAUUACCUUGAUCACGACUGCACAUUCAGCUCACCGAACAUGGGUCCGUUGCGAGCUGAUGCACCAGCGUGGUGCCUUGCGCCUUUUGAACCAGAAGGCUUGUUAAGCUCAAUAUCGUCAAUACUAUCAGGGACAAUCGGGAUACAUUAUGGCCAUGUUCUAAUCCAUUUCAAGACUCACAAGGGGAGACUGAAGCACUGGCUUCUGAUGGGCUUUUCACUCCUUGUGCUCGGCAUUCUCCUACACUUCACGAAGGCCAUCCCAAUCAACAAGCAGCUCUACAGCUUCAGUUAUGUCUGCUUUACUGGCGGGGCGGCAGGAAUCGUUCUCUCAGCUUUCUAUAUACUAGUCCAUUGGAUCGUGAAGCAUGUGUUUGUGGCACUCACAAAAGAGAGAGUUCCGAAUAUCGAUCAUCAGGUAGAAAGCUAAGCCGAUUACAGUGUUGAACUGCUGAUGGAUGCCAACAUGAGCUAUGUUUAGUAUGGUGUGUAAUGUAGUAUCUAGCUAGUGUGAUAGCAUUUAAUGUGACAUUCUGGACUUGCACCUGUAUGAAACAAUGCCAUUGUGAUAUCGGGCCUGUUCGCUUCAGCUUAUAAGCCGGCUGAAAAGCUAAAACGGCUGAUUUGUUGUGAGAGGAAAAUACUGUUUGAUGGCUGAUAAGCCAACUGAAUAAGCUGAAGCGAACAGGCCGAUCUUUCUAGUGAUGUUUGAUGAAGCUAUCUAACUGAUGUUGUUAUGUGUCUACAUGAAUGAAUGAAAGCUUUUAUAGCUAACGUGGUCAUUUGCUU